GACGUAGGGUGCAAGCGUUGUCCGGAUUUACUGGGCGUAAAGCGCGUGUAGGCGGUCCGGUAAGUCCGCUGUGAAAGUCGGGGGCUCAACCCUCGAAUGCCGGUGGAUACUGUCGGGCUAGAGUGCGGAAGAGGCGAGUGGAAUUCCUGGUGUAGCGGUGAAAUGCGCAGAUAUCAGGAGGAACACCAAUUGCGAAGGCAGCUCGCUGGGACGUUACUGACGCUGAGACGCGAAAGCGUGGGGAGCAAACAGG
rnacentral:rRNA from 1 species